AGGACGAACGCUGGCGGCGUGCUUAACACAUGCAAGUCGAGCGAGGCCCUUCCUUCGGGAGGGUGCCCUAGCGGCGAACGGGUGAGUAACACGUGGGCAACCUGCCCCUAGCACUGGGAUAACUCCGGGAAACCGGGGCUAAUACCGGAUAUGACCUUCGAAGGCAUCUUUGAAGGUGUAAAGGAUUCUGGCUAGGGAUGGGCCCGCGGCCUAUCAGCUUGUUGGUGGGGUAAUGGCCUACCAAGGCGACGACGGGUAGCCGG
rnacentral:rRNA from 1 species